UAAUUUUUGACACAAGAUGUGCACUCUGGCUGUCAGGAUAGUUAUCAAAUUUGGCAUAAGAGGUUAGGACAUUUGUGUCGUAUAGGCAUGAACCAACUGAAAAAUCACAAGGUAGGUAUAAAGGUGCCUUUCCAUGCUUGCCAAGGCUUGACAAGCGUCCACAAACACAAGCGUGCAAAGAGGGUGUUUGGCUUGGCUUGCGUGAGCUUGUGGACGCUUGUAUCCGAUCCGGUCUAGUGUCGGUUUUUGGACACAGAUCAAAGGGCGCUUGCGGCAAGCGCUUGCGACGCGUUCACACGUUGGCGCGCGCUUAGUAGCCGUUGUGAUCUCGCGACGAACGCACGUCUAGUUCUGACUUCAAAAUGAGCGGCUCGUCGAACGAAGAGAGUUUAUCGUUUUUGGAAUAUUACCAGACCGAAACGUGUAUCUGGAACCCCAAAGAUGUUAACCAUAAAGAUAAAAAGAAAGUUGCAGAUGCUUGGAGUCGUCUUGCCCAGUUAUUGGGGAAGCCAGUAAAGGAAUUAAAAUCCAAAAAAGAAAUAUUGAUGACAACUUUCCGAAAACAUUAAAAAAAAACAGGAUUCUACUCGUUCUGGCGCAGGUGCCGAAGACAUAUAUAAACCAACUUGGUUUGCUUACGAAAUGAUGGAGUCUUUUUUACUGCCAGUAUAUACUUGCAUUGAUGGAAUAAAUACCGAAACCGCUGAUGAGCAGGAGAAUGAGCGAAUUGGACAAGAAACUCCGGUAGUGGACCCUAAUGCAGAUACACAGUCAGAUUUGUUGUAAUAAAUAAAAUACGAUUUGUAAUAAUAAUUGUUAGUUAUAAUAUGAAAAGACAGUUACAAAGGAAAAAGAAAUUUUGACAGGCAAUAGCAUGAAGUUUGGUUCCACAAGGUUUAUGUCUACAUUCCAAUAAGAUUCAACAACACAUUCACAACCUGCAGCUUCAGUAGGGUCAAGAAACACCACACCACAAUGGCAACCAUCAACAUCACUGCAAUCUGGCCACACAAUACCACCAAAAAAAUCAAAACAUGAAGACCCUCGAGUAGCCGAAGCCUACCGUAUUUUAAAAGAUACACAUGAUUCAAAGAUAAGGGACAAGAGUCGAGCUUUUGGAAAUCAUGUUGCUUCAAAACAUCGCGAAUACUCAAAAAGGACGAAAGCGUAUGUUGAACAUUACAUAAAUAAUAUACUGUUCGACGCUGAUUUGGGGAAAUUUGAUUAUUAGUCAAAUUUAGCAUCAACUCCGAUGUCUUCAUAUUGAAACAGUUCACAAAAUACUUGCAUUGUGUAUUCUGUAGCCUCAGAUCAAUCCCCUCCACCCAACCAAAUGGAAGCCAGUUCAGAAAGUAAUGUCAAUUUAGACCAACAAUUACACAUUCCGGAUGAUACCGCAACUGAAGAAACCAGCGAGUCUUUGCUGCAUUUUAUUAAACAUUUUAAGUAACAUGUAUAUCUUUUCUAGUUUCUUUUUGUUUAUUUAAGUUCUCUGAUUGUGUUUUUUUAAAUAAAUAUCUUAAAAUAAAUUGUCUUAGUUUAUUUACUUACUUUCACUAAUAAUUACGGUCGUGAUAAUAGGUGUGUAGGUAUGUAUAAAAGUAAUAACUUUACUUACCUUAGCA